rnacentral:rRNA from 1 species
UACAGAGGUCCCGAGCGUUGUUCGGAUUCACUGGGCGUAAAGGGUGCGUAGGUGGUGAGGUAAGUCGGAUGUGAAAUCUCCGGGCUCAACCCGGAAACUGCAUUGGAAACUACCUUGCUUGAGGUUUUGAGGGGGGACUGGAAUUCUCGGUGUAGCAGUGAAAUGCGUAGAUAUCGAGAGGAACACCAGUGGCGAAGGCGAGUCCCUGGAAAACACCUGACACUGAGGCACGAAAGCUAGGGGAGCAAACAGG